CGGCGGCGGCGCCCAGAGUCUCGCGGGGCCCUGGCCAAGAUGGCGGAGCUGGGCCCGGCCUAGCGCGGCUCCGAGCGCUCCGCCGUACCGCCCCCGCGCCCCGCGCCUGUCACUCACACCGCCCGCCCCCAGCCCUGCGCGCCGGCGGUUUCACGGCCGUUGGGCUCGAGCGGUCUCCAUUGUGACCGGCGGGCGGACCGCCAGGCACCCGGAUGAUGACGUCAAGCGGCCUCUCGCUCCCAGUUCCCCUUCCCCGCUGCUGCUGCCGCCGCUCGGUUGGGGCGGCGCCUCCCUCGGAGCCGGUGGAGCGGCCGAGGGACGGCGGCACUAAGCGGGGGGAGCGAGGUGUGUGUAGGCCUCGGUAGGCCGCAGGGCUGGAACAUGGAGACGGGCUGCGAGAGCUGCGAGAGGGCCGAGCUGUGCGCGCGUGGCUCCGGCCGUUAGAAGCACGGUGCUUUAUGUAGCCUUUAGGGACACAAAACCUUUAAACUGCCUUGUGACAGGUCGGAAGUUAAGCAUUGCUGUUACUCAGGGUACCUGGAGCCGUGCUUGGGUUUAUCUGACAUUUUUUAUCAUCCGUUUCGAAAGGUCAAAGUCUCGUUUUAACAACGUCAUUCAAGAAUUUCAGAGCAGGAAGUGGAGAAUCCAGUCUCCAGCUGAAAACGUAGGAGGAAUUUAGGUCGCCGGGUUGGAAUUUGCUCAGAGGCUGGGUAACAGCCUUCGCUCUGUGUGCAAAGACCAAAAUAUGGCUGGUCACGGUCAUAGAAUCGUAUCAUAGAAUCAUAGAAUGGCCUGGGUUGAAAAGGACCGCAAUGAUCAUCCAGCUUCAACCCCCGCUAUGUGCAGGGUCGUCAACCACCAGACCGGGCUGCCCAGAGCCACAUCCAGCCUGGCCUUGAAUGCCUCCAGGGAUGGGGAGGGAGUAUGUUCUGUAAAAAGCCAGAGCUCAAAGUUAGCAUUGAUACGUCCUGUUAUUUCCUCUUUGAACAAAGUUAGGGUUAGCUGGGUUUUGCUAAUCGCUGAGAUUGGUUGCGAAGGAAACCUGAAAUACGUCUUUGCAUUAACCCCUCAGAUAAAAGGAUGCAGCUCCUUCACUGCUGUCCAAAAGCAAGUUUGCACGCUGAGAGAGGGGUUGUGUGUGCAUUUUACUCACCAACAAUAAAGAAAAGCUCCAACUGGUGAAAAUCUGUGUCAGUUGCUGUCCCUAGAGCUCCUGAGUGGUGACUGACAGAGGAUGGCUGCACCCCCAGCAAUUUCAGUUGUGUGUUGUUUGACAAUUCUCAGUCCUUAAAAAAUAAAUUGCUGUGGUUACAGA